rnacentral:rRNA from 1 species
AUGAGGAAUUGGGUACAUCCAAACUUCCCCUGUGAUAUCUUUAUUUUAUUCCUCAGUUUAAGGUCUCUGUUAGUGGAAUAUAUUUUCUUGCAAACUGAAUUGGUUUUCUGGAACAUGUCUUCGUAUUUUUGUGUAUGUCUUGAGCACUAUUCAUUGGAUAUACUUUGUUGCUUCCAGCCCAUGGAUAAGAAUAUUUCAGUCGCUGAAGAGAUUGUUGAACAUAUGACAUUGAUGCAAAUCUCUGGCCACCUACAAGUGAAACUGCUUGAAGACCAAGUUCGAAUAUGUAUGAGCGCAGUGAAGUUCGGCAUGCAAGUCUAUUCGCAGUCUCGCACCCUAAUGUAA